rnacentral:rRNA from 1 species
UGGGGAAUAUUGCACAAUGGGCGCAAGCCUGAUGCAGCCAUGCCGCGUGUAUGAAGAAGGCCUUCGGGUUGUAAAGUACUUUCAGCGAGGAGGAAGGCGUUGUGGUUAAUAACCGCAACGAUUGACGUUACUCGCAGAAGAAGCACCGGCUAACUCCGUGCCAGCAGCCGCGGUAAUACGGAGGGUGCAAGCGUUAAUCGGAAUUACUGGGCGUAAAGCGCACGCAGGCGGUCUGUCAAGUCGGAUGUGAAAUCCCCGGGCUCAACCUGGGAACUGCAUCCGAAACUGGCAGGCUAGAGUCUUGUAGAGGGGGGUAGAAUUCAGGUGUAGCGGUGAAAUGCGUAGAGAUCUGGAGGAAUACCGGUGGCGAAGGCGGCCCCCUGGACAAAGACUGACGCUCAGGUGCGAAAGCGUGGGGAGCAAACA